ensembl:snRNA LOC120099438 U7 small nuclear RNA
GAGUUAUUACUAUUCUUUUAGAAAUUUUUCUAGCAGGAUUUCUGACUUUGGUUCCUCAGGAACCCCUC